rnacentral:tRNA from 1 species
GCCCAGGUGGUGAAAUUGGUAGACACGCUAGACUUAGGAUCUAGUGCUCGCGCGUGGAGGUUCGAGUCCUCUCCUGGGCA